GACGAACGCUGGCGGCGUGCUUAACACAUGCAAGUCGAACGGAAAGGCCCUGCUUUUGUGGGGUGCUCGAGUGGCGAACGGGUGAGUAACACGUGAGUAACCUGCCCUUGACUUUGGGAUAACUUCAGGAAACUGGGGCUAAUACCGGAUAGGAGCUCCUGCUGCAUGGUGGGGGUUGGAAAGUUUCGGCGGUUGGGGAUGGACUCGCGGCUUAUCAGCUUGUUGGUGGGGUAGUGGCUUACCAAGGCUUUGACGGGUAGCCGGCCUGAGAGGGUGACCGGCCACAUGGGGACUGAGAGACGGCCCAGAAUCCUACGGGAGGCAGCAGUGGGGAAUAUGGCACAAUGGGCGGAAGCCUGAUGCAGCAACGCCGCGUGCGGGAUGACGGCCUUCGGGUUGUAAACCGCUUUCGCCUGUGACGAAGCGUGAGUGACGGUAAUGGGUAAAGAAGCACCGGCUAACUACGUG
rnacentral:rRNA from 1 species